AACAAGGCGUACCUGCGGACCUGCGGAGGGAUCAUUACAAGUGACCCCGGUUUACCACCGGGAUGUUCAUAACCCUUUGUUGUCCGACUCUGUUGCCUCCGGGGCGACCCUGCCUUCGGGCGGGGGCUCCGGGUGGACACUUCAAACUCUUGCGUAACUUUGCAGUCUGAGUAAACUUAAUUAAUGAAUUAAAACUUUUAACAACGGAUCU
rnacentral:misc_RNA from 1 species